GACGGAGGGUGCUAGCGUUGUUCGGAAUUACUGGGCGUAAAGGGCGCGUAGGCGGCCCUGUCAGUCGGGUGUGAAAGCCCGGGGCUCAACCCCGGAACGGCACCCGAGACGGCAGGGCUGGAGACCGGGAGAGGAGGGUGGAAUAGCCAGUGUAGAGGUGAAAUUCGUAGAUAUUGGCUGGAACACCGGUGGCGAAAGCGGCUCUCUGGCCCGGUUCUGACGCUGAGGCGCGAAAGCGUGGGGAGCAAACAGG
rnacentral:rRNA from 3 species